GCGAGGCAGGGACUCCUUUGUGUGGGGCAGGAAUGCGAGGAAGGAGACUGGGCGCUGCGUCCCGCUGGAAUGUAGCUAAUGCCGGAGCCAAACAAUGAUUUUCCCCGAGUCAGUCAGGGAGAGGGCGGCCGCGGCGCUGCUCGGCGGCGGGGUCGGCGGCUCCCUCCUCGGCCGGGGCCGGCGGCGGGGCUGUCACCGCGCCGGGGGUCCCCGCGCGGGGCACGGAGCGCUCGGGGUCCCGGCCCGGGGGGGCUCCGCCGCCCGCGCCCCUCGCUGGAACUUUGCGGCAGGAGCCGCGGCCUCGUCCCGCGUGGGGAAGGGGCGGCUGCGCCCCACCUGCGGCCGGGGCUCCCCGCACAAACACCGGCAUCGCUGCGGGGGCCGAGGGUCGGGAGCAGCCCCGCACCUGUGCGGAGUCCCCAGCGCUGGCCAGGUGCCUCCGCUGGAAGGACUUGUGUUUGUAGCACGGCAGCUGAGGGUUGUUGCCAGUUAUUUAUUAAGUCUUAAAAAAAAAAAAAAAAAAAAAAAGGCAGCGCUAAGACAUAUGAUAAACAUAUUGUGGCCUAAAGCAAUCUGUGAGCUGACGGGAGUGUAAAAAAGCAGCUACUGUGCGUGUGACUGCAAGAGCUUGAUCUGUUGAUCGGUGACGAACAGCCCGGCACGGCUUGCUAUUUACAUCUGUGUGCUCACGGGGAAGGAUGUCAGAAAACGACCCCUCAAAACGGCAACAGAACGAGACCCGACCCCCGAUACUAAACUGUAGCCUGCAGGUUUUUUGGCUUGGUUUGGUUCAUUUUUUUUUGCAGCUGAGCUGCAGCUCUCUGGCAAUCAUUUGUGUUGAUGGCAGAAAUGCUGACAAAGCCCUUACAACAGAUAUCUGACAGGUGUCCUUACACUGCUGGGUGCUGAGCACCCUGCAAGGAGAGAAAUACUGCUCAGGUUUGAGCUAUAGGCACUCUGUUGUGACAAGAGCAUUUUAUUCUGUUAUCAGACCUAAUUAAACAUUUAAAGCAACUGUGCACUCAAAAAAGUCCCCAUCAGUGGAGGGCAAUUGAUUGGCAAUCUGUUUUCUUGUGUGUGCAGGGGUGGCAGGAAAAAAAAUCCAACAAGCCAUGUAAAUGUGCAGAGCAAGACCUGAAAAACAAACCUGUUAAGCAUGACAGAGGUAGUCCAUGUCCAUGUGGACAUACAUAAGCAAACACCACCACUCUUGGGAAUCAAGUGCUCUUUUCUGUGUCCACGUCUUUCAUUUCACUUUUUGCCCAUCUCUUAAACAAGCUGUUACCACGUGUGGUACUUGUGGAACGAGUCACGUUUCAGCCCGCAGGUGUGGAUGGUGGAAGGCACCUCUGCAGCAGGGUGUCCUGGUGCAGUCCCUCGCUGCUGCUGCUGCUGCUGCUGCUCCCGCUGUUUGCAGCAGCAAACACUGCCCAGGAAGGUGCCCUGGCUGUGAGGAGAAUCACAGCAGCAGCUCGAGUCCCCAUCCCAUUCAAGCCACAGCCCCUGGUAAAGUUGUCAGCACAGACAUGAACUGUGCUGUCAUCCGUGCCACAGGGACACAUCCCUUCUCUCACAAAGAGAGUUCCUCCCACAGAGCACUUGGAGACCACCUUUGACUUGAGGCUUCAUCUGCCCCACCUGGGAUGAAGUUUGUUUGUGGCAGUGGGCAUCUCAUGACCUGCUGCCCUCCAGUGUACUGCUGCAGGGCUCCUUGGAUUGUCCUGGGGCCUGUGUGAUGCUGUUCUCUCCUGUUACUGCCUUCGCCCCACUUAGUGUCAGUUUUUGUAAGGUUGUCUUCCUGAGAAACUCGGAGAGGCUCAUGGAUAGCUUGGAAGGUUGGCCCAUCAGAGCCCAUGUCAAGAAAAUGUACUCUGUUUUAAGGGGAACUUGUUUUGGGGUUUUUGUUGUUUUGUUUUUCAUUUGAAGUUUGUUAUUAAUCUGACAGAGUGGGUAGGACAUGCUGGGAAGCCCUGGCUGAGUGCUCAUGAAGGAAGCAUUUUGGGCAUGUAUCCUUACAGCAGGAACUGUAGAGCUGAAGCUGCAGCUCAUACUUACAGCAGCAGUGUCCUUCUGUAGCUCUGUUCUUCUGAGCCACAAAUCUGCCCUCGCGCUGCCUUUUGAGGCCGCUCAGUUUCUGUGCUGCUUCUGCUGCCAGCAGGUUUCUGCACUAAGUCUAUUGGUGCUUGAGUCACGAAAGCAUGGACUUUGUUAGGUAUGAACUCAUGGGAAAAACAUACUGGGGAGUCUAAGGAAAUAGCCCUUAGGUAAGCAGUGUGGAUCAAAUGGUAAAAAUCACUCUUUUACUGUUAGAAAGCUUAUGCUUGAUAAAUAACAUCCUAGUACCAUGUUCCCAUCUCAGCCAGGCCGCAGGGACAAUGCUUCUGGCCCCCUCUUCACCAGGGAGUUGUUCUUCUGUCACACACAUGAAGAAACUCACAUUUACCAGCAGUACAGCCCUAGGUGCGGGCUGUACAGGUGGAAUAAAUGUGCUUGCAGUGGUACACAGGACACACAGCACUGCUCACAGAGCACCAUCUGUACCAGGCCGUGCAAACAAAGACUGGAGUUAAAGCUGCUCUUGCUGUACUGAGUAGCCCCAUCAUUCUCUUCACUGUUACAUACGUGAAAAUCCAAAAUACUGGAUAGUUACAGGCUGACAAUCCUGAUGUGGUUUUCUCCCUACCUAAUUUUCAAAAUACUUGCUUAAUUAUAGCAACCAGCAGUAACAUGUAUAUACUGCAAAAAGACUGACACUUCUGCAACUUAGAGCACAGGAGCCGUGGGAGUGUUAUUAAAGCUAAACGUCAUUUCAUGGUUUGGUGUGGUUAUCCUUAUGCCUGAUUUUAAGUUAUCUCAGUAAAUCAGACAUUAAGGAAAGCCAGCUGCUUGUGUUAAAUAAACUCCAUUGUCUAAGACUUAAAGGGAGCAGAAUAGCCAGGUGGAGUUAUUGGUCUGUGACUAUCAGCUGGCCAGGCCUCCCGGGCAGGGCUCUCCUGUCCUUUUCAUUGCCAGCGCAGGAGGGAGAGCUGCUGCUCUGCCGGCCUUUGCUUCCCCGGGCUGCAAACAGUUUAUUACCAGCAAGGCAGGGAAACUGUCAGUGUGAGAACUCCCCGUGGAAACUUCAGCUCGGGUGAAGACAAUGGCAAAAAUCCCCCGACUUGUGUUGUGGUGUGUGUGUGUUACAUCAGACCUGACACAAUGCAGGAGGGAGUUCUUUGUCUCACUUCAUCAACUGAACAAUCUGAAGCUGCUCUGCAGAUUUGCCUACUGAACUGGAUGCUACCUGCUUUUCUGCAAUUUAUUUCUUUGUCUCAAGCAUUAGGAAAUCAAUGACAUACACAAGAGACUUGGAGGAGCUACACUUUCUCUUGAUAUGAUAAAAACAAAGUCCUGGUUACAACCCUGCAAACCUUCAUCCAGCAAAGGAAUGAGAGAGCAUUAGUGCACUGAAAUAAAGGACAGGAAGACUGCAUGAGGUCAGGCUGCCAGUCACAUGGCCCCCUCUGCUCUGGUGGUGAGAAGUAUCAGCCUGACUCUAUGUGCCUCUUCAUACCCAUUAAAGAAAUGAGGCAGGCUACGAGCACUGACCUCCCGACCUGGCAGCACAACACACUUCAGAUGUGAUGAGAAGGAUCAUUUCAGAAGGAAGAGGACAUUGGUUUGUUGAGAACACCAGUUACAUUUACAUUUCAUUGUAUUUUAGAGGUAUUACAGAGGUAUCACUCGUUAGCUGAAAAUGAACAGAUGUGCAAGGAUAAAGCUGCUCCGUAAUUGUAACUAAUGAAGUUUGGUCUCUGCAUUCUGCAUCCUCUGCACUCUCCAAAUCCCCAAUAAUGCUGCAGUCCAGUGAUCCCUGUGUCCCACAGAGUCUGGCCCUGCACCCACCCAGCAGCAAAGGUGUCAGCCCCACACCUCCAAAGCCAAAGUGCUACCACAGAAGCUUCUGGGGUGUGUCUCUUCUCCAGCAUUGCAGGGCUGGAAUUGCUUAACCUCUGCAGGUAUCUUCAAGGUAUCACCUUGCUGAAGAGGACUGGCAGAGCAAUUCCAUAAGUAUCUUCUCUUUGGAAAUUGUUCUGCAAACUUCCAACUUUUCCUCAUGAGAGUGAAGGAGUCUGCCAAUGGGAGAGAUAAAGAUAACAUGUAUCUAACCAGCAAUUGUCUUCCUUCAGUAUAACAGAUAUCAAGCUGUAUCUACAAGUACAUGUAAUUACUUCGUCCUGUUUCUCCCUUAAAAGGAUCAAGGCCUCCAAAUCAAAGCACUGCCUCUCCCUCAUGUACAUUUGUCUACAGGUAUGAGCUCCCUGUAGUCAUUCUGCUUAGGCACCAGCCCAGAAACAAUCUCAGGCAAGCAAAAACCAAGUAACUGACAAGUGUACAAUUUGCUGCAUUAUCCUGAUCCUAGUUCCUGCUUUCUUGCACAUACUGUACUUUUAGUUGCACAAAAUGGAGGAUUUUUUUGUCCUUUUAGCUGCGAAGAAAAUAAAUAUGUCUGCCACAGAAAGAGAAUCUAUUUCCCUUAAUUCUGUGUUUAUUCAGAUUUCUAACCCAAAUUUAAAUUUUUGGGGCAGUAGAAGGCUUGAAGCAGAUAUCAGAGGUAUCUACAGACUGAAUACAAGCUGAUUUUAUCUUCUGAAAUCUAAUAAAUGGUUAGCAAGAGGUCUUUGUUGUAAAGGUCAGAACUUGAAAUGGCACAUCAAUCUGCUCCCAGCUGUCAGAGGCGAGAGGCCAGGAAAGGAUGCACCUCUCUCCGUGGUUCAGCUGUGGAAUGGUUUCAUAAAGGAAAGCUAAAAUGUCACACAAACACCACAAACACUAAAUGGUCACCUACAAGUUGCAGUGGCUCUUUAGGACAUGGGCUGGCACAGGGCUGUCUGUCACCAGGGCCCCAGAGUUCUUUCUCCUGAAUGGUUAUCUUUGGUCUCAUAAAGGUGAUUCAAUGCUUUGGGAAUUCCUUCACCCUCCCUCAGAACAGCUUAAUGAAUCUCUGGUUAACUGCUGUCAAUCAUUAAUGGUCAAUAUUCCUUUCCAUGCUCUGCUGCAGAAAAGGGAUAUUGAAUUAAUGGCAUGCACACCAGGUACAUUCUGUAAUAGUCUGUAUUUUCUUGACCAUACAUGGCACUCGAAUUCACUAAGUAAAUUAAAAAUGCAAGCAUCAAGAGCUGUCUCUAUAAAAGCAGCCAGAAAAGCUUAUCUGCACUAGAGAAUUUUACAUGACUAUAAACAAACAACUUGAGAACCCUGUGUGACAGCAGAGCCAAUUUAUAUCACUGCAAAUUGCAGUUUGUAGACUGAUUUAAUGAGCUGGGCUCCAAAAUUGUUAGUGAAGACAGAGCCUACAUUAGAUUGCUCAGCCAAAGAACUGGGAAGAAUUUCUCCUCCAUUUUAAUAUUUAGAUCUUGUGCCUUGCAACAGUACCUCCUUCCAUAUGACCGUUCCUGCUAUUAGGAGCUGAACAAAUUGUCAUUUGAAAAAUGGAGGGGUUUUUAAUGACUUGAAAACUUAAUUAACACUUCAAUUUUUAUCUUUUUCUAAAGAGCAAAGGAAAGUUUAAGUUGGAAAAUUCUACAUUAAUACAAUGUUGGUGACUAGCAGCCAAUUAAGGACACUCAUACUCCACCAGUUCUGAAAAGCAGCUUUUCAUUUUGCACAGCAGCAGUUUGCAUUUAGUGGCUCGUUCUGUAUUGCCAAACUUCCAAAGAACUGCCCAGAGCAGCCAAGAGCUGCCCCAUGUUCUGUGGGAGCAGCCUGUGGAAAGCAAAUAUAUUAAAAAUCCUUCACUUCGAAGUAUGUGACAGGAGGGGUCCAGAAUCAUUCUCAGGAGCAUUACCACAACUGCACCUUCUAAAUACAUCACCAGGCCAUGGCUUGUGCAGCUCAUUCUGCAAACCAAAUGAUGACACAAGGCUAAGAACAAUAAACAAGUAAUAACUUGAGGAGCAGCCAGGGACACAGAAUAGACCCCCCCCACCUUUUUUCACCCUUGAAUCUGUCGGUGACAUUUCAGUCCAGCUCAUACUCCACUCAACUUCCAACUCACACUCUCAACUUCAGUAAAACCACUGCAGUAAGUUACCAGGAUUAUACCCUCUACUGGUAUUUUUAAAAAAGUUAGAAAGUGAUGUAAAGCAGUAAUUUUAUUUUUAAUAAAGCUUAAACCCAAAAUAUGUCAGCCUUAAUUUUUGGAAGAUGUCAUUAGACAUUAAAUUCUUAUGAUUCAGCUCUUUAUGGCAAGAAGUUUUCCACUGUAGCACUGCAAUCCUUUCUCUAACACCUUAUUUACAUCUUUACCUCAGUCUUCACUCCUGCCAGCCAAGCAGCAACUCAAAAGGAUUUCACUGUGAACUAUUAUGGCUCCAAACAAGCCACUGCAUAUGACUGUUACUGCCUAAAAGAAGAAAUAAAAUAUUAAUUGCCUCAUAGAAGCUGUUUUGCACAGCACUGGCAAUUUUAACACAAUGAUGAGCUGGCCUUUGUUUUUUUAACAUCCUCCUGUAAAAUUCACAUUUGCUUUAAAAUUCAUUCAGUCUGCAAACUGUAACAACUAAAUCUUGCUGCUCAGCUGCUGUGCUCUGUAAGGCUCACUGCACACUCACCUAUGACUGGGAGCAGUUUUGGGUCCCUGGCACAAGUGGGAGAUUCUUUUGGUACAGUGACAGAAACGGCCAAUUAAUGCAUUUUGAAAAGCAACAAUGACAUUUUGAGAGUUCCCAACACAAAUGCAGUAAGAUUUAAGACACUGAUUCUAAACACACUUUUGUCCUACACACAAAGUGUAAUAUAUAAAAACCAGAGCUUCCUUCCUUCUGAAGGCACGAGGUGGUGAAAGCAUGUGAGUGGUGGUGCAACUGCUGCAGCUGAAGAGCCCAAUAAUUGAUUGUCCAAGAAAAAAAAACAUUCACAAAAGUUUUAUUAAAAAAAUUCCCCUUUCACCUCAAACAAGUGAAGUUUAAGUUCUGUACUACUAGGUUAUGUUUAGAAAAAUGGAAAUAAUACAGUAAUUUUUGAAGGCUAUACAUUGUAAAAUCCCAUAAGUCAGCAUAAUUUUGGACUGUGCAAGCAAAUAUAGCAAGUAUUUCAGAUGUUAUUUAUUUGGUCCAUCAGAUGUACAGUAUAGUAGUAGUAUCUGAGUUUACAAAACAUCAAAUAUAAAUAACCUGAAACUGUAACAAUACACAAAAAUUUGCUUCUUACAUUGACAUACCAGGCAGUACGAGCUGAAAAACUGGAGUAAAUUAACAGUUUUACAGUAAUGUACAUAGUGCCAGCUGAUGUUUCAGAACACUGUUAGAAUGUGGCACUAAUUUGCUUUGUUGGAUUUUCUUCUUUACUUGUUCA